rnacentral:rRNA from 1 species
AGUGAACGCUGGCGGUAGGCCUAACACAUGCAAGUCGAACGGCAGCACAGUAAGAGCUUGCUCUUACGGGUGGCGAGUGGCGGACGGGUGAGGAAUACAUCGGAAUCUACUUUUUCGUGGGGGAUAACGUAGGGAAACUUACGCUAAUACCGCAUACGACCUACGGGUGAAAGCAGGGGAUCUUCGGACCUUGCGCGAUUGAAUGAGCCGAUGUCGGAUUAGCUAGUUGGCGGGGUAAAGGCCCACCAAGGCGACGAUCCGUAGCUGGUCUGAGAGGAUGAUCAGCCACACUGGAACUGAGACACGGUCCAGACUCCUACGGGAGGCAGCAGUGGGGAAUAUUGGACAACGGGCGCAAGCCUGAUCCAGCCAUACCGCGUGGGUGAAGAAGGCCUUCGGGUUGUAAAGCCCUUUUGUUGGGAAAGAAAAGCAGCAGGUUAAUACCCCGCUGUUCUGACGGUACCCAAAGAAUAGGCACCGGCUAACUUCGUG